GCUUGUAGCUCAGUGGACUAGAGCGUGUGGCUACGAACCACAGUGCCGGGGGUUCGAAUCCCUCCUAGC
rnacentral:ncRNA from 12 species